rnacentral:rRNA from 1 species
UACGUAGGGGGCAAGCGUUGUCCGGAAUCAUUGGGCGUAAAGCGCGUGUAGGCGGCCCGAUAAGUCCGCUGUGAAAGUCCAGGGCUCAACCCUGGGAUGCCGGUGGAUACUGUCGGGCUCGAGUCCGGAAGAGGCGAGUGGAAUUCCUGGUGUAGCGGUGAAAUGCGCAGAUAUCAGGAGGAACACCGAUGGCGAAGGCAGAUCUCUGGGCCGUAACUGACGCUGAGGAGCGAAAGCAUGGGGAGCGAACAGG